rnacentral:misc_RNA from 1 species
GAUGAAGAACGCAGCGAAAUGCGAUACGUAAUGUGAAUUGCAGAAUUCAGUGAAUCAUCGAGUCUUUGAACGCACAUUGCGCCCCCUGGUAUUCCGGGGGGCAUGCCUGUCCGAGCGUCAUUGCUGCCCAUCAAGCACGGCUUGUGUGUUGGGUCGUCGUCCCCUCUCCGGGGGGGACGGGCCCCAAAGGCAGCGGCGGCACCGCGUCCGAUCCUCGAGCGUAUGGGGCUUUGUCACCCGCUCUGUAGGCCCGGCCGGCGCUUGCCGAACGCAAAUCAAUCUUUUUCCAGGUUGACCUCGGAUCAGGUAGGGAUACCCGCUGAACUUAAGCAUAUCAAUAAGCGGAGGA